rnacentral:rRNA from 1 species
CUGGGGAAGGAUCAUUAGUGAUUGCCUUUUUAGGCUUUUAACUAUAUCCACUUACACCUGUGAACUGUUCUACUACUUGACGCAAGUCGAGUAUUUUUACAAACAAUGGGUUAUGAACGUCGUUUUUUUAUAACAAAAUAAAACUUUCAACAACGGAUCUCUUGGCUCUCGCUUCGAUGAAGAACGCGGCGAAUUGCGAUAAGUAAUGUGAAUUGCCGAAUUCAGUGAAUCAUCGAAUCUUUUAACGCAGCUUGCGCUCUCUGGUAUUCCGGAGAGCAUGCCUGUUUCAGUGUCAUGAAAUCUCAACCACUUGGGUUUCCUAAUGGAUUGGAUUUGGGCGUCUGCGAUUUCUGAUCGCUCGCCUUAAAAGAGUUAGCAAGUUUGCCAUUAAUGUCUGGUGUAAUAAGUUUCACUGGGUCCAUUGUGUUGAAGCGUGCUUCUAAUCGUCCGCAAGGACAAUUACUUUGACUCUGGCCUGAUUUCAGGUAGGACUACCCGCUGAACUUAAGCAUAUCAAUAAGCGGGGGC